rnacentral:rRNA from 1 species
UACGUAGGGGCCUAGCGUUGUCCGGAUUUAUUGGGCGUAAAGGGCGCGUAGGCGGUCACGCACGUCCGUUGUGAAAUCGCUCGGCUCAACUGGGCGGGGUCAGCGGAUACGGCGUGGCUGGAGCAAGCUAGGGGGCAAUGGAAUUCCCGGUGUAGUGGUGGAAUGCGUAGAUAUCGGGAGGAACACCAGUGGCGAAGGCGGUUGCCUGGAGCUUUGCUGACGCUGAGGCGCGAAAAGCGUGGGGAGCGAGUCCGG